UACGUAGGGGGCAAGCGUUGUCCGGAUUUAUUGGGCGUAAAGAGCGCGUAGGCGGCUUGACAGGUCUGCUGUGAAAACUCGAGGCUCAACCUCGAGAUGUCGGCGGAAACCGUCUGGCUAGAGUCCGGAAGAGGAGAGUGGAAUUCCUGGUGUAGCGGUGAAAUGCGCAGAUAUCAGGAAGAACACCUAUGGCGAAGGCAGCUCUCUGGGACGGUACUGACGCUGAGACGCGAAAGCGUGGGGAGCGAACAGG
rnacentral:rRNA from 1 species